rnacentral:lncRNA from 1 species
UCAUAUGUACAAUUUCAACAGCUGCAACAAGAAUUGGAUGAUUUGGAAUUCACCUCACAAAGGGGUGGUAUAUGGACAUUUAUAUGGAAUACUGAGACUUACUCCUCUCAGAAAUUUUACAGGUCAAUGUUUAUGGGGAUUUUGGUCCCAAGGCCCUUCAUAUGGAUCUGGAAGACCAAGUGUGUCAAAAACAUCGAAAGAUAUGUUGAAUACAAGCAUUGUGCUCCUGAGGAUGCUGAUCUAUUUGUGAUUUGUGUGAAGACCCGAGAGAAACAUGAUGGUGCUGGCAAGACUUCAAUUCAGAGGAAAAGGCUUCCUAGAUAUUAUGCUUUUCUCGUGUUGGCAUAUCUGAAAACAGCGAAAUGGAGAAGUUUUUGA